UNNGGGGGGGAAACCCUUGAUUCAGCAAAGCCGCGUGAGUGAAGAAGGCCUUUGGGUUGUAAAGCUCUUUCCUCGGGGAAAAAAUGACUGUACCCGAAUAAGAAGGUCCGGCUAACUUCCUGCCAGCAGCCGCGGUAAUACGAAGGGACCUAUCGUAUUUCGGAAUUACUGGGCUUAAAGAGUUCGUAGGUGGUUGAAAAAGUUGGUGGUGAAAUCCCAGAGCUUAACUCUGGAACUGCCAUCAAAACUUUUCAGCUAGAGUUUGAUAGAGGAAAGCAGAAUUUCUAGUGUAGAGGUGAAAUUCGUAGAUAUUAGAAAGAAUACCCCUUGCGAAGGCAGCUUUCUGGAUCAUUACUGACACUGAGGAACGAAAGCGUGGGUAGCGCAGAGGAUUAGAUACCCUCGUAGUCCAUGCCGUAAACGAUGUGUGUUAGACGUUGGAAAUUUAUUUUCUGUGUCGCAGCGAAAGCGAUAAACACACCGCCUGGGGAGUACGACCGCCAGGUUAAAACUCAAAUGAAUUGAC
rnacentral:rRNA from 1 species